AGUGAACGCUGGCGGUAGGCCUAACACAUGCAAGUCGAACGGCAGCACAGUAAGAGCUUGCUCUUACGGGUGGCGAGUGGCGGACGGGUGAGGAAUACAUCGGAAUCUACUUUUUCGUGGGGGAUAACGUAGGGAAACUUACGCUAAUACCGCAUACGACCUACGGGUGAAAGCAGGGGAUCUUCGGACCUUGCGCGAUUGAAUGAGCCGAUGUCGGAUUAGCUAGUUGGCGGGGUAAAGGCCCACCAAGGCGACGAUCCGUAGCUGGUCUGAGAGGAUGAUCAGCCACACUGGAACUGAGACACGGUCCAGACUCCUACGAGAGGCAGCAGUGGGGAAUAUUGGACAGUGGGCGCAAGCCUGAUCCAGCCAUACCGCGUGGGUGAAGAAGGCCUUCGGGUUGGAAAGCCCUUUUGUUGGGAAAGAAAAGCAGCAGGUUAAUACCCCGCUGUUCUGACGGUACCCAAAGAAUAAGCACCGGCUAACUUCGUG
rnacentral:rRNA from 1 species